rnacentral:rRNA from 1 species
AUCUCAGAUUAAGUAAGGGUACCCGCUGAAUUUAAGCAUAUAAUUAAGCGGAGGAAAAGAAACUAACCAGGAUUCCCUCAGUAAGGGCGACUGAAGCGGGAAUAGCUCGAACCGAAGAAUUGUGGUGUGUUUGCGUUACUUGCUCGGCCAAAGUCCCUUGGAACAGGGCAGCGUAGAGGGUGAGACUCCCGUUUGGCUGUGCUUUUGAGCUUACAUGAUGGAGUCGAGUUGUUUGGGAUUGCAGCUCAAAGUGGGUGGUAAAUUCCAUCGAAAGCUAAAUAUUGGUGGGAGACCGAUAGCGUACAAGUACCGUGAGGGAAAGAUGCAAAGAACUUUGAAAAGAGAGUUAAAGAGUACCUGAAAUUGCUGAAAUGGAAGCGAAGGAAACCAGUGUCGUGCUUGUCAUAUUUCUGUCAUUGCUUGCGAUGGCGGCGCUGUGGCUGCACUGGUCAGGGUUGGUUCUGAAUCGGUAGAAGUUUCUGCUGUUUGGGACUGAGUUCUGUCGAAAUGGUUUUCUUUACCCCGUCUUGUAACACGGACCAAGGAGUCUAACAUAUGUGCGAGUACAGGGGUGUCAAACCCCGGUGCGUAAUGAAAGUGACAGUGGUUGUAUUUUUUCCCAAUCCGCCGGCCUCAAUCCCUCGGGAGAACGGUCUGAGUGUGAGCAUACAUGUUGGGACCCGAAAGAUGGUGAACUAUGCCUGAAUAGGGUAAAGCCAGGGGAAACUCUGGUGGAGGCUCGUAGCGAUUCUGACGUGCAAAUCGAUCGUCAAAUUUGGGUAUAGGGGCGAAAGACUAAUCGAACCAUCUAGUAGCUGGUUCCCUCCGAAAUUUCCCUCAGGAUAGCUGCGAUCAAUUGUAUCAAUUUUAUCAGGUAAAGCGAAUGAUUAGAGGUUCCGGGAGCGGAAUGCUCUCGGCCUAUUCUCAAACUUUAAAUGGGUAAGAACUCGGGGUUGCUUAAUUGAACCCUGCGGUUGAAUGUUGGUCGCUAGUGGGCCGCACCGGGUAAGCUGGUUCGGCGAUGCGGGAUGAUCCGAACGUGGAGAUAAAGUGCCAAAGUGCUCGCUCACCUAGAUCCCACAAAAGGUGUUGGUUCAUAUAGACAGCAGGACGGUGGCCAUGGAAGUCGGAAUCCGCUAAGGAGUGUGUAACAACUCCCCUGCCGAAUGAACUAGCCCUGA